UGCAAGAGAAUGGAAAAACCCACUGUGCAGCUAUCAUGGAAGAGGAGCAUCUCUUUCUGUAUAAGGGACAUCAGUGUACAAAUGCCUGAAAGAGUUCUCUGGAAGAGAGAUGAAAAUACAGCUAGAAACAAGAUCACAGGAGCACCAAACUGCCAUAGUUGAAUAAGUGAAACCACAUCAUACCGUCUCAAAGAAAGGAAGAAAAGAGUAGAUUUCAUACAUAUGUGAGCUAUCUUCUAAACCUCAUUCAGCCUGGACAAACAAAAUAAGCCAGAAUUAUUUAUGGCACCAGAGCAUAAACUGAGCUUGUCAGCAGAAAUCCGGGGAAAGAUGGUCUGCUAAGAAUUCCCCCAAGUGAGAGAGAGACAACUGUGCUCGCUGAAUACAACUUGCCAAGAGCUGGAAGAUAGAAGCUUUGUAAUAUAAAGAACAAAGGCAGCAAUCAGUUCAUUCAAAAUAUAUGAACCAGCUGUAUCUUUACACAGGACUGGUGACACCUUCCUUACUUUUGCAGACUGGGCUACCUACUCACAAAAACAGAAGGGUAGGGACUGCAGAAAGAUACUCCUGUUUAACCAGUGUAAUGACACUGUGUACUAGCACAGGAAAGAAAAUCUCAUAUUAUUGCAUGUUUGCAAACUAGAGUAACUCUUGAAGUCAGAAGAAUUUUAAGCUGGGUCAUAUUUGGUGCCAGCAACUAUUUCCCUACAGAUGAAGGCAUGCCGAGUAAUUUUUUGCCAACACAGAUAACAGCCUAAUGGUUUUUACAAGUACAGAAUGCAAGCGCUACACAACAGCUGUCAUGUGGGAAAAUAUUUUAAAAAACACUGAGAUGGCUUUCAUCACAGACUUAAAACAGCUGUGUUACACUGAUCAUAUUUAAGCUAAAAAAGCCCAAUUGGGGAAAAACUGCAUGACCCACAUUUGAAACAAGACCAACACAAGUUCAGAAUUUAUCAGAGCUUCCAUGUUUUAUGACUUGUUAUAUACUAUUGCACUAUGGCACACAAAGUGCCUCCACCUCACUCAGAGUGAGCCACAACUACAAUUCGGAGCUAACCUGAAUAGAAUCUUGAAUAUAAGAACAAGAAUAAAACGAUUAUUCUAGAGAACCUAUUGACUGAUUCUACUUGAAGCUUCUCAGACGUAAUAUUUUAAAGUUGUCUGAGAAACCAAAGUACAUGCAAAAUUACUUAAAAGUACAAUUUAAGAUGGAUAAUCAGAAUAUUAAUUUUUGUGCAAAGACUAUUUAGCUCAAAUAGUAUUCCACUCAUUGCUAGUGCCUAUGCAAAUACACAAGCUAACUGAAACUCUCUUUAGUGGUACUCUUGAAGAUAAUUUAUGCAUCCCUAGUUAAAGACAGAAAAAAGUUUAUCGUUACAACCAGUCACUAUCAAGUUCAGUCCAUACAUGCAUUUCAAUCAAUUACCCACCCGACAUACUAUAAAAAGUUGUAAAUCUUACUCUCCUCUGUUAUGUUGGCUUCUACUUCUAAAUAAGCUGGAAAAAAAAAUCUUCCAGUAAGAAAGAUAUGUGAUAGGUGCUUUAAUAUACAAAGUUCCCAUCAAGUUAA